rnacentral:rRNA from 1 species
GGAAGUAAAAGUCGUAACAAGGUCUCCGUUGGUGAACCAGCGGAGGGAUCAUUACCGAGUUUACAACUCCCAAACCCAAUGUGAACCAUACCAAACUGUUGCCUCGGCGGGGUCACGCCCCGGGUGCGUCGCAGCCCCGGAACCAGGCGCCCGCCGGAGGGACCAACCAAACUCUUUCUGUAGUCCCCUCGCGGACGUUAUUUCUUACAGCUCUGAGCAAAAAUUCAAAAUGAAUCAAAACUUUCAACAACGGAUCUCUUGGUUCUGGCAUCGAUGAAGAACGCAGCGAAAUGCGAUAAGUAAUGUGAAUUGCAGAAUUCAGUGAAUCAUCGAAUCUUUGAACGCACAUUGCGCCCGCCAGUAUUCUGGCGGGCAUGCCUGUCCGAGCGUCAUUUCAACCCUCGAACCCCUCCGGGGGUCCGGCGUUGGGGAUCGGGAACCCCUAAGACGGGAUCCCGGCCCCGAAAUACAGUGGCGGUCUCGCCGCAGCCUCUCCUGCGCAGUAGUUUGCACAACUCGCACCGGGAGCGCGGCGCGUCCACGUCCGUAAAACACCCAACUUCUGAAAUGUUGACCUCGGAUCAGGUAGGAAUACCCGCUGAACUUAAGCAUAUCAAUAAGCGGAGGA